GACGAACGCUGGCGGCGUGCUUAACACAUGCAAGUCGAGCGAAGUGGCGAACGGGUGAGUAACGCGUAAUCAACCUGCCCUUCAGAGGGGGACAACAGUUGGAAACGACUGCUAAUCCCGCAUACUGAAGGAUGGGAUUGCGUGGGAUUAGCUAGUUGGAGGGGUAACGGCCCACCAAGGCGAUGAUCAGUGGCCGGGCUGAGAGAGUGAACGGCCCCAUUGGGACUGGGACACGGCCCAGGCUCCUACGGGAGGGAGCAGUGGGGAACCUUCCGCAAUGGACGGAAGUCUGACGGAGCAACGCCGCGUGAGUGAUGCGGGCCUUCGGGUUGUAAAGCUCUGUUAAUCGGGACGCGGUACCGGAAUAGAAAGCCACGGCUAACUACGUGCCAGCAGCCGCGGUAAUAC
rnacentral:rRNA from 1 species